rnacentral:lncRNA from 1 species
UUUUACAAGAUCAUCAGUCACACAAUCUCACCACUCCAGCAAGACAUGACCCCUCAGCCAGCUGGCAGUACUGCCUCAAAAAGUGACAGCUGCCACCAGGAGACUGCUAUCAUGGGAAGAUUUUGAAAACAGAAACCAAAGUAUAAAACGAAAGAGAGCAACCAAGUCCCAGGAGAAGAUAGCAGUGAGUGAAAAUAUUUUAUCAGAUUAAAAUUUUAGUUGGUGAUUAUAU